CGGAGCGUAGCGCAGUCUGGUAGCGCACCUGCUUUGGGAGCAGGGGGUCGGGGGUUCGAAUCCCUCCGCUCCGACCA
rnacentral:tRNA from 1 species